AGCGGGAUAGAGCAGUGGUAGCUCGUGAGGAUCAUAGCCUUGAGGUCGGCGGUUCGAAUCCGUCUCCCGCCA
rnacentral:tRNA from 1 species